UCUCUCUGAAUCAUCUUCUCCACUAGAUUGCUUUCAUCCAUCUGUCUUCUGUAUAUGUCGUCUUCCUCCUCCUCUCUCUUGGAUCAUCAAGAUCCCCUGUUAGAUCAUACAAAACAGAAAAUGUGCGUUAAUGUUCUUAGUUUUUUUUAGAUUAUGUAUUUUUUUUAGAUUAUGUAUUCUCUGUUCCUCUAACCCUUGCAAUUUCUGACCUCCUGCUCCAAGUGUUCUCAAGGCAAUCUAUUCUCCCCCUAUUUUCAUCCAAAAAAAAGUGUGCUUGAAACUAGAUAUCCCAAUGCCAAUCUCAACCCAUGCAGGCCAAAAAAGCUCAAAACCCAAAAAACACUAGCCGGUGACAGAAAAAUAUUCUGAGUUUUUUGGUUGAACAGAGCAGCUCGAGUGGGACUUCUUCCUAUGAUUUAGUUAAUGUUCUGAAGUUUUCGAAGCAAUUGAAGUAGAUUACUCUAAACAUAGCAGUUCAGAGCAGAGUUUUAGAAGUGGUAUUUUACUCCAAAAUGUAACAUUGACAAAAGAAUUCUCUAUUCUAUUUAUAAGAGGUACAUCAAUGAAAAUGUAACAGUACAAUCAUACAAUUUUGAUAGCUAGAACCAAAACAGAACAUUUUGGUUAAUGUUCUUCCUAGCACAGUUGAACUAUUGUGCUCCACAAACCAAAACCAAGCAAAGCAACUUGAAUACCUGAUGAUACAGUUACUACAUAGGGAUUACCUUUGUCUGUUGCUGCAUUCAUAAUUGUGACAAAAAGCAAUGGUAAACUCAAAUCACAAAUUGACAGAAAACUAGUUUUACCAGUAUACCAAUGGCGCCAACUAUAAUCACUGAACAAAAACUAUUCAAAUUAUCAGGUAUUCAAGUUAUGCACAGACCUGACCAAAAACAAAGUUAGCCGCGUUCCCAUUCUAGUCCCACUCCCAGAGAUAGCUAUGUGUCGUGCUUCAGAAUUUGGGAUUUGGUCUUAACAUGUAUAUAGUUUUGAUAUAUAUCCCAGCUGAAAACCCAAAAACAUGUUCAUGCAUAUCCUGCACACAAAAAAACACUGUGUCAGCUUUCCCCCACUGUGUUUUUAUAUUUUGAUAUUAUAUCCCAGCUGAAAACCAGAAUUUACUACUGCAGUUCGCUAUUGUGAAGUGAAAAAAAAAAAGAUCUAUGCUCCACUAAACCUCCUGCACUACUAAAUUUUCCACUUACAUUUUUUAAGUUGACGCCCUAAAAAAAAUGCAUGUACCUCCAUGUUAUAUUUUCUAGUGUGAAAUUGUGAUAAAAAAUUGUUUUGCAGAGGGAGGUGCUAUCAUGGGUCAUAACGCUCGAGGUUAUGAUGAGGGGCUAUGUUUUGGCAGUAACAAGGUGAGACCCAGCUUAUGCUACAUGCAUAAAAGAAUAUUUUUAAUUAAAAAAUUAAAAAAUGUUAAAAUAACUAAUGCUUGUUUGUUCUUGUGAAAAUAUUAACAUUGAGCAGGCAGGUGCAUGGGACUAUGAAACACAAGCAGCACCGGAUGAUCAAACAGAACGUUAUGAGGCAUUUCUAAAUUUGUCGCAGGAAAGCAAUAUGAUGUAUACAGAUUUAAUUCAGCAGAUUGGGUUUCUCAAGGAGCCAAACACAACUUCACAGGUGAGGGAAAAAAGUAAAAAAAAAAGGUAUAAGAAUUACUGAUUUUGUGUAAAAACACAUAUAAAUUUGAAUUUUGUUCUUGUGUGUCCAGAGUGGUUAUCAGGCUGAUGCCCCUGUUGGUGGAUUUAUGAAUUUGCUUCAAUUAACAGAGGAUUUUGAGGUGCCAUACAUAUAAUCUUUAGUGAGAAAUUUAUAUAGAAUUUUGUGAAUGUAAUCUAAUGUUUCUUUUAUGCCUUUUGUGACUACAAACAGAACAACACGGAUUACUCCUUGGAAAAUUAUUUGAAUGAUGAUGCUAACCUGCAUGACAAACAUGAUGCUAGCAUUGGAGUGGGAUGUAAUAGUAACAGUGAGGUACCUUUUUGUUAAAAACACAAAAAAAGUGUUUGCUUAAAAAAGCAUUAAACAAUUAUGUUAAUUUUACCUUUCUUUGUUGUCUUCAUACAGCACAAUAUGUACAUGACC
rnacentral:lncRNA from 1 species